AGCCUUGGCGUAACUGGUAAAGUUUCUGCCGACCAAGAGGUCACGGGUUCGAGCUGUGAAAGCAGCCUCUUGAAGAAAUGCUAGGUUCUGUCAAUGGUUCUUGUGACACUAACCGGAGAGUUGUUUCUUGAUCGUUUCUAACAAGUUUGGAGAUUCCUGUGCCGCCUCCUUCUGCAAUAUUAGAGGGAGGUACUGUUUUCUGUUUCACUAUGUAGUUCUGUUUGCAAAUUGAGUAUCUCCAUGCUCACAUCUAGCUCGUCGGAUCUUC